rnacentral:misc_RNA from 1 species
UCCAGUAUAUCACUGGCAGUCUCCUAUGAGUCCCCACCAUGACGUGCUGGCAACAUAGAACGAGGGUUGCGCUCGUUGCGGGACUUAACCCAACAUCUCACGACACGAGCUGACGACAACCAUGCACCACCUGUGCACGGCCCUUACGGACCCACCAUCUCUGGAGGAUUUCCGUGCAUGUCAAGCCUAGGUAAGGUUCUUCGCGUUGCAUCGAAUUAAGCAACAUGCUCCGCCGCUUGUGCGGGCCCCCGUCAAUUCCUUUGAGUUUUAAUCUUGCGACCGUACUCCCCAGGCGGAAUGCUUAAUCCGUUAGGUGUGACACCGAAGGGCAAGCCCCCCGACGUCUGGCAUUCAUCGUUUACGGCGUGGACUAC